CCUACGGGUGGCAGCAGUGGGGAAUAGUGCGCAAUGGGCGAAAGCCUGACGCAGCGACGCCGCGUGAAGGAAGAAGGCUUUCGGGUGGUAAACUUCUUUGGACAGGGAAGAGCAGAAGACGGUACCUGUCGAAUAAGCCACGGCUAACUACGUGCCAGCAGCCGCGGUAAUACGUAGGUGGCAAGCGGUGUCCGGAUUUACUGGGUGUAAAGGGCGUGUAGCCGGGCUGACAAGUCAGAUGUGAAAUGCGGGGGCUCAACCCCCGAACUGCAUUUGAAACUGUUGGUCUGGAGUAUCGGAGAGACAGGCGGAAUUCCUAGUGUAGCGGUGAAAUGCGUAGAUAUUAGGAGGAACACCAGUGGCGAAGGCGGCCUGCUGUACGACAACUGCCGGUGAGGCGCGAACGCGUGGGGAGCAAACCGGAUUAGAUACCCCUGUAGUC
rnacentral:rRNA from 1 species